GACGUAGGGCGCAAGCGUUAUCCGGAUUCACUGGGUUUAAAGGGUGCGUAGGCGGGUAAGUAAGUCCGUGGUGAAAUCUCUGAGCUUAACUCAGAAACUGCCGUGGAUACUAUUUGCCUUGAAUAUUGUGGAGGUGAGCGGAAUAUGUCAUGUAGCGGUGAAAUGCUUAGAUAUGACAUAGAACACCAAUUGCGAAGGCAGCUCACUACACAAUCAUUGACGCUGAGGCACGAAAGCGUGGGGAUCAAACAGG
rnacentral:rRNA from 1 species